GACGAACGCUGGCGGCGUGCUUAACACAUGCAAGUCGAACGCUGAAGCUUGGUGCUUGCACUGGGUGGAUGAGUGGCGAACGGGUGAGUAAUACGUGAGUAACCUGCCCUUGACUCUGGGAUAAGCCUGGGAAACUGGGUCUAAUACUGGAUACGACAUGUCACCGCAUGGUGGUGUGUGGAAAGGGUUCUACUGGUUUUGGAUGGGCUCACGGCCUAUCAGCUAGUUGGUGAGGUAACGGCUCACCAAGGCGACGAUGGGUAGGGGAACUGAGAGGUUGAACCCCCACACUGGUACUGAGACACGGACCAGACUCCUACGGGAGGCAGCAGUGAGGAAUAUUGGUCAAUGGGCGAGAGCCUGAACCAGCCAAGUCGCGUGAAGGAUGACUGUCUUAUGGAUUGUAAACUUCUUUUAUACGGGAAUAACAAGAGUCACGAGUGACUCCCUGCAUGUACCGUAUGAAUAAGCAUCGGCUAACUCCGUGCCAGCAGCCGCGGUAAUACGGAGGAUGCGAGCGUUAUCCGGAUUUAUUGGGUUUAAAGGGUGCGUAGGCGGCCUGUUAAGUCAGCGGUGAAAUCUAGGAGCUUAACUCCUAAAUUGCCAUUGAUACUGGCGGGCUUGAGUGUAGAUGAGGUAGGCGGAAUGCGUGGUGUAGCGGUGGAAUGCAUAGAUAUCACGCAGAACUCCGAUUGCGAAGGCAGCUUACUAAGGUACAACUGACGCUGAAGCACGAAAGCGUGGGUAUCAAACAGGAUUAGAUACCCUGGUAGUCCACGCAGUAAACGAUGAUAACUGGGCGUAUGCGAUAUACAGUAUGCUCCUAAGCGAAAGCGUUAAGUUAUCCACCUGGGGAGUACGCCGGCAACGGUGAAACUCAAAGGAAUUGACGGGGGCCCGCACAAGCGGAGGAACAUGUGGUUUAAUUCGAUGAUACGCGAGGAACCUUACCCGGGAUUGAAAUGUAGAUGACCGCUCCUGAAAGGGAGUUUUCCUUCGGGACAUCUAUGUAGGUGCUGCAUGGUUGUCGUCAGCUCGUGCCGUGAGGUGUCGGCUUAAGUGCCAUAACGAGCGCAACCCCUGUCUACGGUUGCCAUCAGGUGAUGCUGGGAACUCCGUAGAGACUGCCGUCGUAAGGCGUGAGGAAGGUGGGGAUGACGUCAAAUCAGCACGGCCCUUACAUCCGGGGCGACACACGUGUUACAAUGGUAAGGACAAAGGGCAGCUACCUGGCGACAGGAUGCGAAUCUCUAAACCUUAUCACAGUUCGGAUCGGAGUCUGCAACUCGACUCCGUGAAGCUGGAUUCGCUAGUAAUCGCGCAUCAGCCAUGGCGCGGUGAAUACGUUCCCGGGCCU
rnacentral:rRNA from 1 species